rnacentral:lncRNA from 1 species
UGCUAUGCAACCAAAGGAUGUUAAGAAUAAAAAAUAUAAGUAGAAUCAUUCUAGAUUACCAUUUCCAAUGCAACAUGUACAUCAAAUUAAUUUUAAAAAAUAUACAGAGGGUAAUAAGAUAGAUGACAAAAUACAAAUUUCACAAGUUAAACGCGAGUUUAUCCGUAAUACUACAAUGUUAUACCUUAUUCAUUGGAAAAAAGAUAUACCUCUAGUAGUGCAUCCUUAAACUCAAC